GGGUAACCUGCCUUAUAUGGGGGAUAGCCUUUCGAAAGGAAGAUUAAUACCGCAUAAGAUUGUAGUAUCGCAUGAUAUAGCAAUUAAAGGAGCAAUUCGCUAUAAGAUGGACCCGCGUCGCAUUAGCUAGUUGGUGAGGUAAUGGCUCACCAAGGCGACGAUGCGUAGCCGACCUGAGAGGGUGAUCGGCCACAUUGGACUGAGACACGGCCCAGACUCCUACGGGAGGCAGCAUG
rnacentral:rRNA from 1 species